GAUGAACGCUAGCUACAGGCUUAACACAUGCAAGUCGAGGGACCGGCGCACGGGUGAGUAACGCGUAUCUAACCUGCCCAUAAGUAGGGUAUAACCCGCAGAAAUGCGGACGAAUCACCUAAGCUUAUGGAUGGGGAUGCGUCCGAUUAGUUUGUUGGUGUGGUAACGGUUCACCAAGGCUUCGAUCGGUAGGGGUUCUGAGAGGAAGCCCCCCCAGAUAGGAACUAGGACACGGGCCUAUCGCCUACGCGAGCCAGCAGUGAGGACUAUUGGUGAAUGGGCGAGAGCCUGAACCAGCCAAGUAGCGUCCAGAAUGACGGACUAUGCGUGGUAAGCUGCUUUUGUGCUAGAAUUGGUACCGAACUAAUAAGCACCGGCUAAUUCCGUGCCAGCAGCCGCGGUAAUUC
rnacentral:rRNA from 1 species